rnacentral:rRNA from 1 species
CUUUGGUGCUUGCCCGAAAGACGAGUGGCGAACGGGUGCGUAACGCGUAUGCAAAUCUACCUUUUACUAGGGUAUAGCCCUGAAGAAAUUUGGAUUAAUCCCCUAUAAUAUCAUGAAUUCGCAUGAUUUUAUGAUUAAAGCUUCGGCGGUAAAAGAUGAGCAUGCGUCCUAUUAGUUAGUAGGUGAGGUAACGGCUCACCUAGACUACGAUAGGUAGGGGUCCUGAGAGGGAGAUCCCCCACACUGGUACUGAGACACGGACCAGACUCCUACGGGAGGCAGCAGUGAGGAAUAUUGGACAAUGGACGAAAGUCUGAUCCAGCUAUGCCGCGUGCAGGAUGACGGCCCUAUGGGUUGUAAACUGCUUUUAUACAGGAAGAAAAAUUCCGACGUGUCGGAACUUGACGGUACUGUAAGAAUAAGGAUCGGCUAACUCCGUGCCAGCAGCCGCGGUAAUACGGAGGAUCCAAGCGUUAUC